ACACACACAUAAUCUCUCUGUCUUUCUCUUUCUCUCUCACUCACACACAUACACACGCACACACACACACACACACACAAUCUCUCUGUCUUUCUCUUACUCUCUCACACACACGUUCACCUGUGUCUCAGGGUGAAGAGCGUGAAGGUGAACAGAAGGUGGGAGUUUGGGCCUAGCGGGCGGAGCAGAGGUGGCGCUGAACGCUUGUUAAAGGGAAACCGGCAGGUGUGGAAAUUUCCGUUCGGUGGCACGGAGGAGUCUUCGUUCCCGCCGUUCUGUCUGAAUUCCUCAAGUCUGCCUCGCAAGAUUGCGUUUUCAAGAAGUCCGUUUAUUUAUAUUUGUUUUUAUUUUUUAUUUUUUACAAAUUUGCCGUGCGUGAAAGCGAGCGUCGCAGGGGAACGCCGUGCGCCCCCGCGUGUAUGUCUAUGCAAACCGAGAUCACGCUAACUGCCUGGUCUGUCUUUCAGAGCGGCGACAAAGGUUAGUUCAGCAUUACGUUUCAGCCGUUCGUUAACGUGUUUGCAGCCCGGGAUGGCUCGACGAUAGAAUAAUAAUUGACCUGGUGUUGUGCAGAGCAGAAGGAUAUUGAACAUAGUUAUAAUGAUGGUGAGUAUAACCCAUAGA